rnacentral:rRNA from 1 species
AACGUAGGAGACAAACGUUAUCCGGAGUUACUGGGCGUAAAGGGCGUGUAGGCGGUUUGUUAAGUCUGGCGUGAAAGCUCUCGGCUAAACCGGGAGAGGUCGUUGGAUACUGGCAAACUAGAGGAUGGUAGAGGCGUGUGGAAUUCCGGGUGUAGUGGUGAAAUGCGUAGAGAUCCGGAGGAACACCAGUGGCGAAGGCGGCUCACUGGCCCGGUACUGACGCUGAGGUGCGAAAGCGUGGGGAGCAAACAGG